AUACUCUGGUUUCUCAUUAGAAUGAAUAAAUCUUUUGCCUAUUGCUAAAGAUUUCUGUGGAGAGAAACAACCAUGAGUUUUGGUGAUUUUUUUUAUGGUUGGCUAAUGCUGGGCC